GACGAACGCUGGCGGCGUGCCUAAUACAUGCAAGUAGAACGCUGAAGGAGGAGCUUGCUCUUCUGGAUGAGUUGCGAACGGGUGAGUAACGCGUAGGUAACCUGCCUGGUAGCGGGGGAUAACUAUUGGAAACGAUAGCUAAUACCGCAUAAGAGUAGAUGUUGCAUGACAUUUACUUAAAAGGUGCAAUUGCAUCACUACCAGAUGGACCUGCGUUGUAUUAGCUAGUUGGUGGGGUAACGGCUUACCAAGGCGACGAUACAUAGCCGACCUGAGAGGGUGAUCGGCCACACUGGGACUGAGACACGGCCCAGACUCCUACGGGAGGCAGCAGUAGGGAAUCUUCGGCAAUGGACGGAAGUCUGACCGAGCAACGCCGCGUGAGUGAAGAAGGGUUUCGGAUCGUAAAGCUCUGUUGUAAGAGAAGAACGAGUGUGAGAGUGGAAAGUUCACACUGUGACGGUAUCUUAUCAGAAAGGGACGGCUAACUACGUG
rnacentral:rRNA from 1 species